GAGGUCUGUAAAUCCUGUUGGAGCAGCCUGCAGAGGCCAUGGCAGGAGCCACAGGAGCUGCACCAGGCCAGCAGCCAUCCCUCCUGGUGGGCAGGGAGGUCAAGGGCAGCACUGACCUGGAUUUCCUGAUCCCUGCCUUUGCUUAAGCCACCUUCCUGCCCCCAGGCCACAGCAGACAGCGUGCUCAUCCUGGUGUCUUCUGAGCAGUUUGUAUGGGACAACAAACACAUCGAGAUGUUUCCCAGGAGAACUUCCCCACAGCGUGCUUGGGAGCUCUCAGCUUUCACAGCACGUCCGGCUGCGUCCCAAGGAGGAGCCUCGGUGCUUGUUCGACACAUUGCAGACUAAAAACUCUUCCAUGGAGCAGAAAGAUGACAACUGGGCUGGGAAUCCCCACCUUUUCUCAGAAAAACUCCUGCUCUUUCAUCACCUCACAGGCUGAUUUCAUAAGGGAUUAAUCUGACUUGAGCCUUGCCCUCCUGGCAGUGGGAAUCCUCUAUUUCCAUUAUGUGUGAAAAUAAGCAUUUCUGGGGGGACUGAUUUGAAGCAGGCAUUGAAUCCUCCUCCUUCUAGAGACAACUUUAAUAAAUAACAGGGUAUGAACACAAAUUGCUUAGUGCUUGUUGAAGAACAACUGGAGAAAUCCCUUUAGAAAGCCAAACUGCUGCCAUGGGUUUCACUUGGAGCUGCUGCUGGCCCCAUGGUGUGGGGCUGUGAGUUCAGCUGAGAGCAAGUGUGGCUUCAUCAUGAGGUAGCUUGCCUGGGGGACACUUCAAAACCCUGUGAGCUGACAAUUUCCACAGCUGAUUGUGCUUGCUGAGCUGCUGCCCUGUGUGUGCUCAGCGUCACCAGACCAAGGGAAUGGCAGCUGUAGAGCACAGCACAGGCUCCUCUCCCUUUCCUGCACUCCCCAAGCAGGAGAGGAGUUCAUUUAUUAUGAUAUAGUCUAUAUUUUCCCUCUUCCCAAAGCACCUCGCUCAGCAGGAAGUUGCCAUAGCCCUGGAAACUCGUGACCAUUAUAAUUAUCAUCGCUCAGUUGUGUGACAUAAUGUUCUUUUAGUAAUCAAACCUUAGGCUGCUUUGGGCACUGUUGCCUGAGAAUAAUCAUAGGUCGGUUUUUUAAGUGGCAGGAGCUUGAUUCUGGGCUGGUGCCUCAUCCUGAGCUAUUGCUGAUUCCAUGGAUUUGCUGCACAGGCUCUGCAGGGUGUAAUCGCCAGCGCUUUGUGGCAGGCUGGCAGCUCUCUGCUGUGCCAGGUGCCUGUUUCCAACAAGAGUGGGGGUUUUUCUUGAUUUGUUUUGUUGGGUUUUUUUGUUUAGUUUUUUUUUUUUUUAUUUUCAGAAUGACUAAAUAACCUGUAAUCAGUAUUAAUUCCUUUGAAUGCUCCAGAGUGAGUUAUUGCUGAUUGCUGCUGUCUGACCCUAGUUAAGUCCAUUUCUAGAAAACGCUUUGUGUGACUGUGUGUGUACAGCUGAAAGGAAUGCAGCUUUCCCCUAAUUACAUACUGGUAAUGCAAGAGGAGACAUUUCUAGUUCUGCUUCUGAAAGUAUUUCCUUUAAGCACUGAUGAGCCAGUGAUAGCAGUAGCCUCUGAAACCAUUUUGAAAAGGAGAGACAAGGCAGGAACUAAUAGAGUUUCAUUACUCGAAGCCUUUGCAUAGAUUGUAGCAGCAAUUGAGCCAUCAGUAAGCCACUGGGGAUAAUAUCUUUAAAAUGCUCUGUAUUUUAAUAAGAUUAAAUUGAUUCGGGUCUUUGCCAGCCUUUUCAAAGCCAGUGCUGUAUGAUGGUCAGUAUUUCAGGCAGGUCUGCAUUGGGAAACAAAAAUUGAAGAUUUAUGUGUUUAAAUUGAAGAACACCAACACUCCUUUUUUUUUUGUACAAUGUACUGCCUUAGAUAUAUACAAAAUCCCCCCAAUAAGCAAGUCACAUUCCCUUAUCAGCUAUGCCUUUCUGAUUUUUCUACAGCCUUUGUUCCUAGCUCUUUAAUUUUAUUUAGAUCUCCUGUCAGAACCGUGAAGGCAUUUCUUACUGUGGGUGCUGCAAAUACAAUGAAUUUCUUGCAGAAGUGAGUUUAAUUGUCAAUACCAUUUGUUACAGUAUUAGUUAAGGAGCUGUGCAUAAAUCAAAAGGAUUAACAUGAUCUCUCGGGUAGAAUAGAGGGAUAGAACAUUAUAUUGCUCAUGUAUCAUUGAUGAAGAAUAUUCUCCCAACCUUUCAUUUAUAGAAAUGAAAAUGUAUUUCCCUAAAGUGAGUUCUGUUCUGUGUUUUCAAACUGGUAACACGAUUUUUACCAUUUAAUCAUUAAAAACUCUGUUUAAAUCA